UAAGAAGAAAAGCUCGGUAGAAUGAUCUACCAUGGAAGACAUUGCAUUAUAAACAUAAGAGCAGAGUUAAUAUGUAAUCACUAAUCAAAAGAAAAGGAACCGAAGAGCUGAGAACAAUCAAGAAAGAAACCACAAAUGUCAAUGUUUAAUCUUACUCACUGGUUCGAGAAUAAUCGAGUUUCGAGCAUCACAAGACCAUGUCAUCCAAUCUACCGUCCAUGGUUCCUCCAUAAACUAUAACCAUUUAAUAAUCAAACCCGAUUCAGAGGUCAUCAAGCCUUUAACAUUAUGGAGAUAACCAGAAUAAACAAGUACCUGGGAAUCAGAAGAGGACUCUUCCCUGCAAGUUACACAUCAAUUCGUGGAAUGUGAAGUUUUUUGUUCCUAUUGUUUAGUUUUACUGUUUGAGUUAGAUUUUUUCUGUGAUUGAGCGUGAAUUGUGUUUUCUUUUUUCUUUUGAAUAUGCAUGCGUUUGGAAGUGUGUUUGUGUUAUGUUUUCGUGUGUUUAAAUUUCGUUUGAGCGUGAAUUUGUGUUUUAGAAUUUUGUUGUGAUUGAGCGUGAAUUUGUGUUUUUGCCAUCUUUGAUCUAUUUCUGGGAUAAAACAACAUGGAAAAAAUACAUGAUGAACAUGCCACAGGCCAGAGGACUAGUCUAUGGCCAGUUUGUGGUAAGAGAGAGAGAUACUUACCUCAACCCUUGUAUGCUGAAACUUUUGGUCUUUGCAGCUUAAAGAUAUUUCUUUUGAACGUGAAGUACCUGAUCAAUAAAGUCGGCAACAAACACAGAGAUUAUAAAACUAACUAGACCAACAAAAAAUAACAGAACCUUCUUUAUGGAAUAUCCUGGCUAUCUAACUAUGUUCACGAGAUACUCCAAGAAUAUAGUUUAAAAUUUCUAAUCCGACUCUUUCAAAUAAUUAAGUGUUGCUAACAAUUGAAAUGGAGAUAUGAAAAACAUCAAUUAGAGAAUCAGGUAACAUCUUAUGGACACUAAAACAUCUUAUGAGUAAGCAUUGGCCAAGUUUUGGUAUUAUCAAGUCUAAGAACUAUAGCUUCUAGACCUUACCUUGGAAGCUUUUUUGAACAAGUAUCCCUAUCUUCUCUACUGCGAUAGGCUGAUCAGCGAGCUUUAUUAUGUUUUCCUGCAAGUUUACAAAUAUUAUUGGAAAAUAGUCAGUAAUAACUUUGUCUUUUCUACACAAUUCUUAUUCAAGUAUACACGAAAUUGAGCCACAAAACAGCUUUCAAAGUUUUGAAUUAGCAAAAGUGAUUAUGAGAUUGAGAGACAAAACUGAAUCACGAAACGUUUACAAUUGCAUCGGCUGUGGCGCAUGAUGACAAACAGAGACAAAUCAUCACAAAUAGUUGUGAUUUUCAUAAUCAAAGAAACAACGAUCAAAUCAAAACACAUGUAACUGAUGUUAUUCAAAACCAUAAAACGUUGAUCAUAUAUCUAUUUAAUCUUUCAAAAACUAGCAAUAAACAAGAUUAACAGAGAUGAUACGAAGAUCAUCAUCACACUGAUUCUUCUAGAUCGCUAAGAAUAGGGUUUAUACCUGAGAGAUUUGUGCGUUUGUGUUCAACGAUCGAAGCAACAGACCCAGAUUUAAUCACACGCUUCUGUUCUGGAA
rnacentral:lncRNA from 1 species